GUGCUUCCAUAGUACAUAUGAUAAAACUGAAAUAAUAUGAAGAUGAUUAGCAUGGCCUCUGUGCAAAUUUGUAAGUUGUUCCAUAUUGUAAAAAAUAUAUGUAU